rnacentral:rRNA from 1 species
UACGGGGGGGGCAAGCGUUGUUCGGAAUUACUGGGCGUAAAGGGCUCGUAGGUGGCCAACUAAGUCAGACGUGAAAUCCCUCGGCUUAACCGGGGAACUGCGUCUGAUACUGGAUGGCUUGAGUUUGGGAGAGGGAUGCGGAAUUCCAGGUGUAGCGGUGAAAUGCGUAGAUAUCGUGAGGAAGACCAGUGGCGAAGGCGGAUCUCUGGAGAGUUCCUGACGCUGAGGCACGAAGGCCAGGGGAGCAAACGGG